UCUCUCCACCCCACCAUCAGCGGCGGUCAAACCGGUGCCGCCGAACAAUCCAGGCUCUCCCCAAUUCUCAUCUCUCCCUCGGUCCCCAAUGACCAUCCCGGAUUUCUCUCUUCCUCCCUAAUCCCCACCCCUGCUGCCCACGUACUUCACCUAGGGCCAACCCCUCUCUUCUUCCUCCCUGGCCGCCGUGGACGUGCGGAGGACGUGCGGAGGCGUCCGUGGCGUGCUCCCAGGUCGAGCUCCUCUGUGGCUGCAGGAGGCAGUGGUGCCGCUUGCGCCGCCGGCAGCACGGUUGUUUAUCCUCUUACUUUCUGCAGUGCCUUACGUUUUUCUUGUGGCCUUGAAGUGUAUCCUCUUACUUUUUGCAGUGCCUUACGUUUUUGUUGUGGCCUUGAAGUGGAUUGUUCUCCUAAUGACCCUUCCUUUGAGUGCCCGCUGUGCUGUUGGCCGCCGGCGAAUGCGCACCUGGGAAUAUAGAGAUCAGGCUGUCGUCCAGCUGCGUCGCCUGUUCGUGGGAGGCCAGCCGGUGGCCAGCCAGCUCCGGCGCCCCGCACCCUUCUGAUGCAACCCGGCUCCGUGCACUUGCCUUCUGCUUUCCCUGUACCAUUGACAGAGAAGCCGCAUUCGCCUUCCGGUGUUGUUUUUCAUAGGAUGGCAUGCAGGGUCUGCUCCUAUGCGUCGAGCUUGGCCACAUACUAAGACUACAAAGGCGACGACGGGGUUCAUUGGAUCGGGAAAAAGGAUUGGUAUGGAUUUAGAUGGUCCUCUUAGAUAUGGGCUCAGAUGUUUUCUUACAUGUGGAUUUAGGUGGUCACAGCAUCAUGAAGUGGAACUACCAUCGACACUCGGGUGAGCACCCACCCAGUUCAUUGGCAUGAUGAUUGACCAAUUCCAACCGCCAUAAGAGAUGAGCUAAUAGCUGCCAGGUUUAGGAUGUAAUGGAAUAAUGAGGGUGACACUAGCGCCGCUGAAGUAAACAAGCACAUAAUAUUUAUCUGGCCCAACAUUAUCAAAGAAAAAGCAAAGCCCCCAAGGAACUGUUGCCACAUGAGUUCUAAUCAUCAUGGUCUCAGUACGUCUCUAGGCUUGUACGAAGAAACAUGUUACCUCACUAGGUAAAGAAAAACCCUCUCUGCUUCCCUCACCUCUCAUUCCGUUGGUAUUAAUGAUUUGUCGAUAGUUUUACCCGUGUGUUGACUGAUUCGUAUUAUUAUUUGCUUCGGCUGGCCGUUAGUGCUUUGUUAAUUUUUACUACACAUAUUUUCUUUUCUAUGGUUGUUACAACACUGUAGUAACUUGGUUUGUUAGGUUUAUUUUGGUUUUCUAAUUUCAGAUCUGUAGAAUGUUGAUGUAAGUCCGGCCACUUCCACUCUAGCUUUUCGAUCUGGAUAGCCUAAUGUUUAGCUUGCCAUCACCAAAUAGAGGUGAGGAGAGAGUGUGCCCAAACAAUUGUGGAUGACAAGAAUUCUUAGGAAGACAUCGCCUGACUUUCCCCAAAGAGAUGGUGAACCGUUUUUUUCUCUGUUUUUUCCCUAUGCUAUUCAAAUACCUAAUCGUACCUACUUUCUCUUGCUUCCUCGGUCCUUCAUGGUCUACACUAUCGGUUUAAAAUUUACAUGCACAUGUGUUCAUUAGGCCAACAUGUGGGAGAUGGUAGACUUCUUUCAUGCCAAACCAAUAGACAAGAUAUUUUUGUACCCUCUGGAAAUUUUUUGUGAGCGUGACUAUGAAAAUUUAUGGCCUUUACAGAGUGGCUUCCUUAUAUUACCUCAUAUGUGAAUUUAGAAAUAUAUUGAUUCUUUCCUAUAGUUGUAGUAUUCCUUCUAUGCCUGACAUUGUAAAUGAAUACUUAAUGAUAAUAGUGUAUAUUUAUGUUUUGCACGGUAGGUGCAUUUUCACGGCCGUCCGGAAUAUGUUGCUUUCCUAGGAUUUCGUCAGCACCAAUUUUUUUGUAUCAUCAUAAUGCCACUACUCGCUCUAUCUUUGUAAGUUGCACGGACAACCAAUUUGAUAGCUAUACUACCAUAUUUCUAGGCAAAGAAAAACCUAAGGAACUUGCUGUAUCUAGAUGCAAAGAAUUACAAGACGAAGACAUUGCUAACACUGCUCUGUAACCUGCAAUAUUUAGAUCCCAAAACGUAUAUCUGCGUGAUACUGAGGUUCAGAUCAGGGUUUAAAUUGUUCUGUCUACGCAACACUUUAAGUAAAAAUUAGCAAAACAUUUAGACCCUAUUUAUGUAUAGACAUCUAUUUGGAAUGAGUGUUUGAGCGUACUUGAACUCUUUUGAAUUCUUUUUUGAACACACAAACUCUUAGUGUAGGAAUGCAAACGUUUAAUCAGGCACAUUGACAGUUCAUGGCAUGCUAGCUUUGCAUUUUAAGUAUUCUACUACUUGAACCUUAGUUAGGCAGUAUACCUUCACUGGUCAUUCAGUGUGAAUUUUACUAGCACAUCUCUUAGUCUGGUGAUAACUACCAUUUUCAUUUCAAUAGGGCAUCUCACUUUAUGUAUCAGCUUUCAGUCAUAUUUUUUAGUUCUUUACCAAUUGCCACGGUUUCAUAUUGAGAUAUGUACAAACAUCUAUACUUUGCUAAAUAUCAUGUCUUUCAAUUGCUGGACAUACAACUCAAUUUUGUCUGCUAUGGUUGAUCAAUUAUGCUAAAGACUGAAAUAUCUAUCUCUAUUCAGAUUAUGCAUAUAUCUUCACUAAAAUAAAGCAUAUUCACUCAACUAUCACAACGCGCUACCAUGGCACAUCAUGUAGCACUCUCAAGGAGGCCUUCUAGACAUGAGGAGUAACUAAUUAUCGAUGACAACGAGUGGUUCUUGCUAUUUGAUGAAGCUAUCCAGUGGUUUUUUUUUUUUAAGCUUUUGCAUUUGCUUAUGAUUGUUAUGUUGUUCUGUUGUGUCACAGAUGACAGAAAGUUUUCGCAGAUUGGGUCUUCUUUGAGCCAUUCACGCCAAGUAAUUCCUACCAAGUACUUGCACAUUUAUUACUUCGGGAACUUUCUGUUAUGUUUCGUAAGAACAUGCCUUCUUUGGCUUCCAAUAUUGGCACUGGGAUAAGAAUUCUUAAAGGAAUAUGUCUCUUUAUCUUCAUCGUCAGUUGAACAAGGAUCAGUACUCUUUUGUAUUUAGAGAAAGUCGGUUAUCCGGUUUCAAACUAAACUUAGGUGUUCCUGCAAUACUAUAGUUGUGUCAGCCCAUGCACAGUGAAGGGAUACAAACUUAGAAAGCCAUGUUAUGCUCUUAGAUAGUUAAGAUAAUCAGACAUCGCCACCCAAAUAGCUUGCAUCCUUACUUAGGCAGUAACUAAUUUUACAACAUGCAGAUUUCUACAAUGGAAUUGCAACUACAAUCUAACAUGCAGGAAUGAACUCAUACGUUCUGGACCAACAACAAAACUACAUAAGCAUAGAAUGGAGAGAAACAUGGUAGUGUACCUGCAAGCCUUCUCUUGCACACUCCAGGCGGUGAGUGGUGAUGCUGCCAUCCCAGUUGGUGAUGUUGCGAAAUCAGCAGGACGGGCAGAGCGUGUCUACCGCUAUCAGCAGUCCGUUGUCUUCGAGCCAACUCUCCCGGUGGACUCCAACUCGGUGUGCCAUUGCCACCACCGCCGCCUAAUCCACGUCGCCGGCUCACCUGCUGUUACUCCACUUCCAGCAUCUUUCUACCCAACUACCGCGGGACCGGGUGUACAGAGACCAAAUAGCUCCGGUGUUCCGAUGGGGGAGACCGAAGAGAACGCCGAAGAGCGGCCGGCUGCACCGAUUAGGCGGUGGCAGCAUCAAAUCGACGGCUACAUGAGCUGUAGGCUCUAUAGAGAAAGUGAGAGCAAGAAGGGGAUCGAAAGUGAAGAGAAGAAGACACAGAGCGAAGAGUACGUGUCUGCUGUCUAGGCUUGCGUGGUGUUUUUUGUUUGUUUGCAUGCUUAUCUUACUCCAGCUCGCGUGGCAUGUUUAAGCCCCACAAAUUCCAACGCUUCACUUCUUAGUGUCUAGACAUGGAUAUAUAAGUUGUAUUUUAUUUAAUAAAAAACAAUUCUUUACAAGUAA